AAGGCCUUCGGGUUGUAAACCGCUUUCAGCGGGGAAGAAGGCGAGCGGGUUAAUAGCCCGUCAGCUGACGGUACCCGCAGAAGAAGGUCCGGCUAACUACGUGC
rnacentral:rRNA from 1 species